rnacentral:rRNA from 1 species
UACCUGCAAGUCGAACGGUGAACACGGAGCUUGCUCUGUGGGAUCAGUGGCGAACGGGUGAGUAACACGUGAGCAACCUGCCCCUGACUCUGGGAUAAGCGCUGGAAACGGCGUCUAAUACUGGAUAUGUGACGUGACCGCAUGGUCUGCGUCUGGAAAGAAUUUCGGUUGGGGAUGGGCUCGCGGCCUAUCAGCUUGUUGGUGAGGUAAUGGCUCACCAAGGCGUCGACGGGUAGCCGGCCUGAGAGGGUGACCGGCCACACUGGGACUGAGACACGGCCCAGACUCCUACGGGAGGCAGCAGUGGGGAAUAUUGCACAAUGGGCGCAAGCCUGAUGCAGCAACGCCGCGUGAGGGACGACGGCCUUCGGGUUGUAAACCUCUUUUAGCAGGGAAGAAGCGAAAGUGACGGUACCUGCAGAAAAAGCGCCGGCUAACUACGUGCCAGCAGCCGCGGUAAUACGUAGGGCGCAAGCGUUAUCCGGAAUUAUUGGGCGUAAAGAGCUCGUAGGCGGUUUGUCGCGUCUGCUGUGAAAUCCGGAGGCUCAACCUCCGGCCUGCAGUGGGUACGGGCAGACUAGAGUGCGGUAGGGGAGAUUGGAAUUCCUGGUGUAGCGGUGGAAUGCGCAGAUAUCAGGAGGAACACCGAUGGCGAAGGCAGAUCUCUGGGCCGUAACUGACGCUGAGGAGCGAAAGGGUGGGGAGCAAACAGGCUUAGAUACCCUGGUAGUCCACCCCGUAAACGUUGGGAACUAGUUGUGGGGUCCAUUCCACGGAUUCCGUGACGCAGCUAACGCAUUAAGUUCCCCGCCUGGGGAGUACGGCCGCAAGGCUAAAACUCAAAGGAAUUGACGGGGACCCGCACAAGCGGCGGAGCAUGCGGAUUAAUUCGAUGCAACGCGAAGAACCUUACCAAGGCUUGACAUAUACGAGAACGGGCCAGAAAUGGUCAACUCUUUGGACACUCGUAAACAGGUGGUGCAUGGUUGUCGUCAGCUCGUGUC